rnacentral:rRNA from 1 species
GCCUGGUAUGGGGGAUAACGUCCGGAAACGGACGCUAAUACCGCAUACGUCCUACGGGAGAAAGCAGGGGACCUUUCUGGCCUUGCGCUAUCAAUGAACCUAGGUCGGAUUAUCUAGUUGGUGGGGUAAUGGCUCACCAAGGCGACGAUCCGUAACUGGUCUGAGAGGAUGAUCAGUCACACUGGAACUGAAACACGGUCCAGACUCCUACUGGAGGCAGCAGUGGGGAAUAUUGGACAAUGGGCGAAAGCCUGAUCCAGCCAUGCCGCGUGUGUGAAGAAGGUCUUCGGAUUGUAAAGCACUUUAAGUUGGGAGGAAGGGCAGUAAAUUAAUACUUUGCUGUUUUGAU